GUAGAGCCCAAAACCUGAUGCAUGUCC
rnacentral:piRNA from 1 species